rnacentral:misc_RNA from 1 species
AACCACCGUGUACCGAACGGUACGCACGGUGGCGUGAGAGGUCGGUACAUAAAAUAAUUAUAUACCUCCUACUUGAU